AGCAGCCGCGGUAAUUCCAGCUCCAAUAGCGUAUAUUAAAGUUGUUGCAGUUAAAAAGCUCGUAGUUGAAUUUCGGGGUUAGUAGGUUGGUCAUGCCUCUGGUAUGUACUGGUCUCACUGAUUCCUCCUUCCUGAUGAACCUUAAUGCCAUUUAUUUGGUGUUUUGGGGAAUUUGGACUGUUACUUUGAAAAAUUGAGUGUUUAAAGCAAGCUAACGCUUGAAUACAUUAGCAUGGAAUAAUGAAAUAGGACGUUCGAUCCUAUUUUGUUGGUUUCUAGGAUUGACGUAAUGAUUAAUAGGGAUAGUUGGGGGCAUUAGUAUUCAAUUGUCAGAGGUGAAAUUCUUGGAUUUAUUGAAGACUAACUACUGCGAAAGCAUUUUGCCAAGGAUGUUUUCAUUAAUCAAGAACGAAAGUUAGGGGAUCGAAGACGAUCAGAUACCGUCGUAGUCUUAACCAUAAA
rnacentral:rRNA from 1 species